AUUGAACGCUGGCGGCAGGCCUAACACAUGCAAGUCGAACGAGUGGCGGACGGGUGAGUAAUGUCUGGGAAACUGCCCGAUGGAGGGGGAUAACUACUGGAAACGGUAGAUAAUACCGCAUACCAUCGGAUGUUCCCAGAUGGGAUUAGCUAGUAGGUGGGGUAAAGGGUCAACUAGGCGACGAUCCCUAGCUGGUCUGAGAGGAUGACCAGCCAAACGGGACCUGAGACACGGUCCAGACGCAUACGGGAGGCAGCAGUGGGGAAUAGUGCACAAUGGGCGCAAGCCUGAUGCAGCCAUGCAGCGUGUAUGAAGAAGGCCUUCGGGUUGUAAAGUACUUUCAGCGAGGAGGCGUUACUCGCAGAAGAAGCACCGGCUAACUCCGUGCCAGCCGCCGCGGUAAUUC
rnacentral:rRNA from 1 species